rnacentral:piRNA from 1 species
UGGCUGUCUUGAUACUAAUUCUUGUACCAAG